rnacentral:rRNA from 1 species
GAUGAACGCUGGCGGCGUGCCUAAUACAUGCAAGUCGAGCGAACAGACGAGGAGCUUGCUCCUCUGACGUUAGCGGCGGACGGGUGAGUAGCACGUGGAUAACCUACCUAUAAGACUGGGAUAACUUCGGGAAACCGGAGCUAAUACCGGAUAAUAUAUUGAACCGCAUGGUUCAAUAGUGAAAGACGGUUUUGCUGUCACUUAUAGAUGGAUCCGCGCCGCAUUAGCUAGUUGGUAAGGUAACGGCUUACCAAGGCAACGAUGCGUAGCCGACCUGAGAGGGUGAUCGGCCACACUGGAACUGAGACACGGUCCAGACUCCUACGGGAGGCAGCAGUAGGGAAUCUUCCGCAACGGGCGAAAGCCUGACGGAGCAACGCCGCGUGAGUGAUGAAGGUCUUCGGAUCGUAAAACUCUGUUAUUAGGGAAGAACAAAUGUGUAAGUAACUAUGCACGUCUUGACGGUACCUAAUCAGAAAGCCACGGCUAACUACGU